rnacentral:lncRNA from 1 species
AGGUCAUCUCUGCCCGGCAGGCUGGGCGCCGGGAGCUGCCCUCGGCCUCUCCCCACGCUGCAGCCUGGACAGAGCCCUGCAGGAUGGCCUUUCUUCUUCAGCCCCUCCUGCUCCUGGGUGGCAAGUUUCCUGUAGGACCUGAGUGAGAUAUCACCAGGCCGCCUGUCUCCAGAGUCCAGGAAUCUCACCUCCCCACCUGGGUUGUGAGGUCUUCUGGGGCAAGGAUGGCGCCUGCUCUUCCUUGGGCCCACUCUCCCAGCCCGGUCAGCCGGAGGACCGGACACCUAAGAGCUGCUUGCCUCUCCUUGAACUCUGAAAGCAGUUGGCGAUCAGAAAGGAGGAAGCUUGGGGCCCGCUCUGGGCAUCCUCAUGUAUUCUCCACGGCGCUCUUGCAGACCAGGCAGACACCGUCCGUCUCUCGGGAACAUCCUCCAUCCUCCCAUCUCAUCUGAGCUGCCUUCUGUGUUUAGGCCCGUCUCUCAGCUGCUCUCAAGAAACUCUCUUGACCCACAGGUUCCCGAGACAGCUUGUUAUACCCUGACCAAUGCCAUCUGUGCCUAAGAACUUGUCUUCCUAAGGAGACCUAAAUCCCUAGAAGACAGGGUCUUGCCCUGGAACUCACUGCCCUGAAAAAGAGCCUUGUUUGUCUAGACGCUUGGAAAAUGCAUGCUCUUUCUAAAACCAAGUUACCUCGAGCAUGGCUAUGAACUCAUCAGUAAAUGUAUGAGAAAUGUCUUUAUAAGACCGCCACCUGGAAGGAGGAUAUGUGCUUUGCUUUAUGAGAAACCCUGGAAAAGGGAGAAAGGAUUUGUCCUUACAGAGUUCAACUUGACUUGGAGCCGGUGCCUUUGGUUCUUGAUGGUUCUUGGAUUGGGCCAGGCCCCUCAGCUCCAAGUGGGGUGUCUCACACUUUGAUUCUGGUCAAGCUGGCCCCUGGCUUGGCUGGAGUUACUGCCUGCUGCCAGUUUCUGGGGAGGCAUUUGGAGACCCCAGGGAUCUUCCUUGCCUUCUGCCAUCUGUGGCCACUGGGCGGGGUCUGAGCGUCUGAGAAGGGACAGGUGGCCUGGCUGGCACAUCAGCUAGACAUCUCCUGGGGCUGGUCAGUACCAUCUUUAAACCAGCUGGCAGAGACUCCAGAGGGGUUUCUCUCCCUGUCAUGCAUUUAUAGCACCACAGGAAAAGCCAAGGCUGGGUCUUGCCAUAGAUACAACCCUGGGCAGUUUUUCUCUCUGUUCCAAACUGUAGCUGCAGCCCCUGCUUCGAGCCUAGGAGGCAGAAGCUGCUGAACUUGUCUUCUCUUGAAUGCCAAACUAUAUGCUUUGCACAGGGCUCGGCACAGAGUAGGCAGCCAGGAAAUAUUUACCGAAUGGCCAAUAGAAUGUUCACCUUCCCUUAGGGGAGGCCCAAUGCCAUUGAGAGAGUAAGGAUUGAACUCCAGGAACAGAAUACAGAAGAAGGCAUGAGCCAGCCUCACUUGCGUCUGCGCAAUCUUCCCAGAUUUCACUUUUCCUUUCCGGGUUCCCAGGAUUUCUCCAGGAACUCUAAUGUUAGGGCAAGGGUGUGAUCCACUUUUCCUAACCCUUUAAACCUGUGCUACUUCAAGCAUAAUCCAUGGACCAGCAGCAUCAGCCUCAUCUGGGAACUUGUUGGAAAUGCAGACUCUCAGGCCCCACCCCAGACCUAAUGAAUCAGCUUCUGCCCUUGAAGAAGAUCAGGUGAUUUAUGUGCCUGUUACAGUUGGAGAAGUACUGCCUUAAGCAGCUAGCGUGUGAACAUAGGACUUGUCACCUGGCCCAGAGGUCAGCCGCUAGCGUGUGGCUAACUACAGUUGGGCUUCUGCCUACCUUGAUGACUCAGACACCUUAUUGAGUCAGAUAUUUUCUGUCUCUCCAGUCCUUGAAUACUGUCCAGAACAUAGUAGGCACUCAAUAAAUAGUCGAUGAAUAAAUGCUAAAUUAUUCUUAUGCUGUUUUCUCCAUUCAGGGUGCUUAUAGUGUGCUGGACCUCUGCUUCUGGACAUAAAUUGCAAGUUAUUAAAAAGGUUUUUUUUGGUUUUUGUUU